CCUACGGGGGGCAGCAGUGAGGAAUAUUGGUCAAUGGGCGUAAGCCUGAACCAGCCAAGUCGCGUGAGGGAUGAAGGUUCUAUGGAUCGUAAACUUCUUUUAUAAGGGAAUAAAGUGCGGGACGUGUCCCGUUUUGUAUGUACCUUAUGAAUAAGGAUCGGCUAACUCCGUGCCAGCAGCCGCGGUAAUACGGAGGAUCCGAGCGUUAUCCGGAUUUAUUGGGUUUAAAGGGUGCGUAGGCGGCCGGUUAAGUCAGCUGUGAAAGUCUGUGGCUCAACCAUAGAAUUGCCGUUGAAACUGGGAGGCUUGAGUAUGUUUGAGGCAGGCGGAAUGCGUGGUGUAGCGGUGAAAUGCUUAGAUAUCACGAAGAACUCCGAUUGCGAAGGCAGCAUACCGGCGCCCAACUGACGCUGAAGCACGAAAGCGUGGGUAUCGAACAGGAUUAGAUACCCGAGUAGUC
rnacentral:rRNA from 1 species